UUGGACAAUUCAGCAUGACUUCUAUAGGAAGAGACCUCUGAAGGACAUGGGGUGCAAUCCCCUGCUCAAAGGAGAGUCAUGUAGCUGGUUUCACAAGGCCAUGUGCAGCUGGGUUUUAACUGUCUUCAAACAUGGAGAUUCCACAACCUUUUGGGACAACCUCUUCAAUAUUUGGUUAUGGCUAUUCGGAUGCUACAAACAGCACAGAUUUCCUGGAACAGAGAUCAACCUUUUCACAGAAUGCUUUCUUAGUAUCCCAGAUCUCCUCAGGUUCAGUUCAGAAGACAAACAUUACUAAAAUAAAGUUUCAUUUUUUCCUUUGGGACAACUUUAUUGUGACAGGAGAAGAAAGAGGAGAAAAGUUAGUAAGUGAAUUUGCUUGUCCUAAGGCAUCUACUGUGAGAAACUAAAGAUGGCCCAGUGCAUUAAUAUGCAGUAUCUCAAAAAUUAUCAAUGAAUCACCAUCUUAACUGCUGUGCACCACCUGGAAGCUCCCGGCAAUAUAACUCCAUGCUGAUCCAACCUCAGCAGAGCUUUUAGAUCUGACUUGUGUUUGCCUGAUUUAUUUCUACAGCAGAAAGGGGGAGACAGGAUGAAAUUAUCUCACUUGUAUCUAGAAUGGAUUAUUUAGAUUAGAAUAGAGACUUUAUCAAGUAAAUAAAUAAAAUUAUGUCUUAGGAAUAUGUGUUCAUGUGUAUUGCUGUGUGCAUAUAAUGUACAUCUGCUCCUGAUAUUCUGGCACACAGCAAACAGAAAAUAAAAUAAAUAAAUAAAUAUAAAAUAUCAGAGUUUUCCCCUCACCUAAAAGGCUCUGUGACCUCUCAGUAAGUCUAAGAACUGAGGAAAAUUAUUCCCAAAACUCUUAUUUACCUGUAGCAUGACCUGUGUGUCUCCAUGACAUAACGUGUAAUAAUAUAAUGAUUACAAGCACUCUAAUAAAGCCAUUUAUAUUCACU